CGAAAGGCGGGCUAACAUCAGAUGAUAUAUAAUCACGACAUCGUGGAAAUAUCAAAUCUUCGGAGCCUUGGGAUGAGCCUGCGUCUGAUUAGGUAGUUGGCGGAGUAAUAGCCCACCAAGCCUACGAUCAGUAGCUGGUCUGAGAGGAUGAUCAGCCACACUGGAACUGAGACACGGUCCAGACUCCUACGGGAGGCAGCAGUAAGGAAUAUUGCUCAAUGGGGGAAACCCUGAAGCAGCAACGCCGCGUGAAGGAUGAAAUACUUUUGUAUGUAAACUUCUGUAAGAUGGGAAAAAUAUUCUCCUCGGGAGAAUUGAUUGUACCAUCAGAGUAAGCCCCGGCUAACUACGUG
rnacentral:rRNA from 1 species